rnacentral:lncRNA from 1 species
CUCUCUUUUCCAAACACAACAAACUCACCGCCACACACUGCCCUUCCUGCGACCUUGAAUCCAGAGACCACCAGGCCCAAAAGCCACCUGGAGGAUUUCACUACUGUCUCUGUGGUGGUCAGAAGGGCUGAGAGCAGAACGCAGGAGCCAGAAGACAAUGUCAGAACCCCUUGGAACUGGAGUUACAGACAGUUCCUGGGCCUUGAACUCAUAUCGCGAAGCUUAGAAGUGAGCGCCCUUACAGGCUGAGCCACCUCUGGAUCCUACUGAACAUAUUUAAACAGUGUGUAUCUGCACUGGAGUCUUGGUGAGGAGUCACAGAGAGCAGCUCCUGCCAUUCCGUGCCUGCAGAGCCUCCUGGCAGCUGCUGGGAACUGGCAAUCCCCACCUUCCUCCUGGGCUGGUUUGAUAUGGGGUAAGGCCAGCACCCAGAUGUCCUCUCCUUGGGAAAAGCCCUGAUCCGCCCAUGUGCCUGGAUGACAAAGCCACACACAGCAGCUGCAGGAUAACAGUUACAGCUCUUCAGUCUGGGGAGGGCUGUGACCGUCUGAGGUUUCACAACAGGUCUGAAGGACAAGCUGAAGUAUGAACCCAGAUGCCUAGACUUGAGGUUCAAAGCAGCCUCAAGGCUCCAGUCUCCCAGGGACUUAAAGCUGUUUCUUGUCAACAACAUUGCCCAGAAGCAGCUCGGAUGCAGACUGCACGUAUACAGGUGCCCAGGACAGUCAGAGUCUUUCACAAACAUGAGCGCCUAUGUCAUUGUCAAACAGCACCGCGGUCCCUUAGUGCCUAGAAAGGAUGUCAAACCUGGGGAUGACAGCCCAGAGUCCCUUACGAACAGCAGUGUAAUGUAUGAACUAUCUAAGUA